CCUACGGGAGGCAGCAGUGGGGAAUAUUGCGCAAUGGGCGAAAGCCUGACGCAGCGACGCCGCGUGAGGGAUGAAGGUCUUCGGAUCGUAAACCUCUGUCAGCAGGGAAGAACGGUCACUGUGCUAAUCAGCAGUGAAUUGACGGUACCUGCAAAGGAAGCACCGGCUAACUCCGUGCCAGCAGCCGUGGUAAUACGGAGGGUGCGAGCGUUAAUCGGAAUUACUGGGCGUAAAGCGCUCGUAGGCGGUAUGUCAAGUCAAGGGUGAAAUCCCCGCGCUCAACGUGGGAACUGCCUUUGAAACUGGCAAACUGGAGUGUGUGAGAGGAUAGUGGAAUUCCAGGUGUAGGAGUGAAAGCCGUAGAUAUCUGGAGGAACAUCAGUGGCGAAGGCGACUAUCUGGCACAUAACUGACGCUGAGGAGCGAAAGCGUGGGUAGCAAACAGGAUUAGAUACCCCAGUAGUC
rnacentral:rRNA from 1 species